rnacentral:rRNA from 1 species
UACGAAGGGGGCUAGCGUUGCUCGGAAUCACUGGGCGUAAAGGGUGCGUAGGCGGGUCUUUUAAGUCAGGGGUGAAAUCCUGGAGCUCAACUCCAGAACUGCCUUUGAUACUGAGGAUCUUGAGUUCGGGAGAGGUGAGUGGAACUGCGAGUGUAGAGGUGAAAUUCGUAGAUAUUCGCAAGAACACCAGUGGCGAAGGCGGCUCACUGGCCCGGUACUGACGCUGAGGUGCGAAAGCGUGGGGAGCAAACGGG